GACGAACGCUGGCGGCGUGCUUAACACAUGCAAGUCGAACGGUAAGGCCCUUCGGGGUACACGAGUGGCGAACGGGUGAGUAACACGUGGGUGAUCUGCCCUGCACUUCGGGAUAAGCCUGGGAAACUGGGUCUAAUACCGGAUAGGACCCUGGGAUGCAUGUCCUGGGGUGGAAAGCUUUUGCGGUGUGGGAUGGGCCCGCGGCCUAUCAGCUUGUUGGGGGGGUCAUGGCCUACCAAGGCGACGACGGGUAGCCGGCCGGGGAGGGUGACCGGCCACAGUGGGACUAAGAUACGGCCCAAACUCGUACGGGAGGCAGCAGUGGGGAGUAUUGCACAAGGGGCGCAAGCCUGAUGCAGCGACGCCGCGUGAGGGAUGACGGCCUUCGGGUUGUAAACCUCUUUCAGCACCGACGAAGCGCAAGUGACGGUAGGUGCAGAAGAAGGACCGGCCAACUACGUGCCAGCCGCCGCCGUAA
rnacentral:rRNA from 1 species